AGCCACCCAGGCGCCCCAACAAAUAAACAUUUAAAACAAAAAACAAAAAGAUACUUGGAGGAAGCAUUCUUCUCUUCCUAGAAUUUAUCAUGAGUUUGAUGACAAAUUUUUUUUUAACCUAUGAAAAUCUUCUGACUUUUAUAAUAGCCUAAUGAUGUGAUUAUAUUAAUUCUAGCUCUGUGUGUGUGUGUGUCACAGGUAAUUUCUGAGUGAUCCAGUUGAAACCACAAAAAUGAUUAAAACGAUGGAUAAAAUUAGUACUUCUUUUGCUGGACAGGCAUGAAAAGGAUUCUGCUUGGGCCAAAAAUGAAAUACAAGGAGGCAUUCCAGGAGAUCAACACAAAAGCUGGGUUUUUUUCCCCUGUUGAUUUUUACCAAAUCCUGGAGACCUAGAACUUUCUCCUUUAGUGGCUGUGCAGGGGGCAGGAGAUAACAGUUCCAUGUCUUGGGCACAGGAUCCCUGCAUGAAGCUGGGACCUCAAAAGACAACCCUCCCCGCCCCCCCCCCAGGGAAAGGGAAGAUGGGAAAUCAACUUACCAUCCAGCUUUCGCCUUGUCACAGAUCUAAAAACUAUAGAAGCACUUGAAUCACUCCAAAGCCAAGCUCCAUUAUGCCAGCCUCCCUCACCUGGAGGUUGCUCACCACUGUAAGAAGGUGGAUUUGGAGUUGAGAGGAACAAAUUCAUUCCUGGUCAGGAGGGUCAAGAAACACUUCUUAGAUAUUUGAGCUGAGCCUCGAAAUGCAUGCAUAUACACGUAGUGAUUUCAACAAGCAGAGAAUGAGGAAAGGAUUCCUGGUGCAGGGAGGGUGGCAGGAGUGUAGUCAGGGCCAGGCGUAUAGAGAUCAGCCCCACGCUCUAGUACAGUGAGCAGGUUCCACUGCCUUCAGAGCACUGUUCAGAGGUGGGUGGUAGGUUGUUGUUGGGGUUUUUUUUCCUACUUCUGGGAAUCCUUGUCGAUGCAGUAGCAGGUUAUUUACACUUUGAGGGGUAAUUUUAUGAAAAUGUGUUUGCCAGAGAGCUCUCCUUCCUUUCUUGAAUGAAUGUCUGUUUUCUAGCGUCUCAAUUACAGUGAUACUGAAAUUGCACUGUCUUUCCUGGGCCUCAAACUCAAAUAAGGUUUAAUUCACCAUAACUGCUAUUUACUUACAACGUGUUACUGUGUCACGAAGUAGACACUCGCGUGUGCACGCCCUGACCCCUGCGGUAAGCGGGUACAGCAGGAAGGCCGCAGGCUCUGACCGUCUGUAAGGAGUUGACCGUCCCAUGGAGAAGGAGGGGGUAAGCCUCUUUAAACAAUUAGAGGAUUAUAAAAUGAUCUUCUGGAGGGGUGCCUGGGUGGCUCAGUUGGUUAAGCAUCUGACUCUUGAUUUCCUCUCAGGUCAUGAUCUCACGGUUUGGGAGUUCGAGGCCCACACCUGGCCCUGCAGUGGCAGCACAGAACCUGCUUGGGAUUCUGUCUCCCACUCUCUGCCCCUCCCCUAUUUGCUCUCUCUCUCUCUCUCUCUCUCUCUCUCAAAAUAUAUUAAAAAUAAGUAAAAAAUAAAAUUUUAUUGAAGAGGAACUUGGGAUAUACGCUGAAGGAUAAGGGAGAGGAGAGUGUUUUGCUGUGGAUACAGCCAAAAAAAAGUUUAAAGACUCCAAAACAAGAUUGAACACGGGAUGAAGUGAAAAAGAAUGGGUGAGCUUUGUGAGUGACUACGUGUGUGUGUUACAUACAUGCAUGUGUAAGUGUAGAUACCAGAACAGAGAUGGCAUGGUCCCCAAAAGAUGCUUAACCUCAGAUGGUCUUUGCUGUAGGCAUGUAAUCCAAGGGAGUCGUUCCCACAAGACUCAAAUAGCCACGAGUACUGCCAACCGUCCUUUCUUUUGCUCUCAAACGAGAGGCUUAAGUCUCUGUCUUCGUGACCCUGUGGAGAACUGGGGUCAUCCCACCCAUCUCCGGGGUGAUGAGAAGAUUCCGCGCACCACCGCUGACCCUUGUACUGUCCGGUCCGGUGAGCGGUCACGUUCGUUUUACUUGUGUCCUAAUUUUAUGGCAAUUAGCAGGUUGACGCUCAUUCAGUCAGCAUUGACUCUCCCCAAAAGCUGAGUACGAAAGGUAAGAUCCACUCGUUCACUCAACAAAAUAUUUACAACGGCCCCACCUUGUAUCAGGCACUGUACUUGCUACUGAGGAUACCAGGAGUGAAUAAAAGAGACGUAUCUCGGUACCCAUGGAGCAUAUGGUGUUGGGGGGCGGGGAGGGGUGGGGAGUGAAACGUAAGAAGCCACAAAUAAAAGUGCUGUUGCCAUCGUGAUGAGUAGUAUCGGUGAUGGAAUGCUAAAAGGGAGAGUCAAGGGAAAUCUUCGUUAGGUGGUGAGGGAAGGCCCCUGAGAACAAGUUGAUGGUUGUGCGGAAAUCUUUUUUUUUUUUUCAAGUACAGUGAUAUUUUUUAUUUUUUUUAUUUUUAUUUUAUUUAUUUGUUUGUUUGUUUGUUUUUGGUUGUGCUGCAAUCUUAAGAAUGAAGAGGGUGCAGCCGGAGAAUAUAUGAGUGGGAGCCGGGGGCUGGGCAGAGGACCGGCCCUGAUAAGGCUCCGAAGCGAGAAAGAGCUAAGGAGAGCUAAGCGAGAGCUAAGAAAGAGCUAAGCGAGAAGGAGCUAAGUGGUUGAGAACGACACAGUUCCUGUUCUCUUACAUUUUCCGGCGGGAACAGACACACAACAUUUACAUUCCGUUGUGACAGAACUGAAGUUCAAGCUAUAGCGUCCACCAUCACUGGCCCUGGUACCACUGAGGGUGGGAUCAGUGACCUCAGCAGGAGCCAUGCAGGACUCUCUGAAGAACCACUGUAGAUUGAAGGAUUCUGGAUGGAUGUUGCUGAAACGCAAGAAACGAGAGAAGAUAUUCAGGAAUAUCACCAUGAAGAAAGAAUGCAGCAUUGUGCUUUUUCUUACACUCACAGAAAAGGACGAGUAUAAUAAAACACAAGUACCUCGA